GGGGACGUGGCGAAAUUGGUAGACGCACUGGAUUUAGGUUCCAGCGCCGCAAGGUGUGAGAGUUCGAGUCUCUCCGUUCCCACCA
rnacentral:tRNA from 1 species